AUGAUCUAAAUCUAAACCUUCCAUCAAAAUUUGAUGUUAAUUUAUGUUGCAAAUACUAGUUUAAUAGUGACAAAGUUAUUUUACUAAAUUCUUCAUUAUCUUAAAAAUUAAUUAAAACAAUGGCAGUGGAUUUCAACAGAAACAUGGUAACUAAAAGGGUUA